GGAAUACAAAACAAAAUAAAAUAAAAAGGAACGAAGGUACAUAGUUGGGUUGCCUCCCAACAAGCGCUUGGUUUAUAGUCCCCAGCCCGACUUGCAAGGUCAUCACUUUGGAUCAUGCAGAGGAAUGGAAGUCCGCUGUUGAUCAAAAUUGACUUCCAAGUAAGGCUUCACUCGUUGGCCGUUUACUUUGAAAAUAGUACCUUGUUCGUCAUGCCUAACCUCAAUAACUCCAGAAGGAAAUACUUGCACUAUUGUAAAUGGUCCAGACCAACGUGAUUUUAG
rnacentral:lncRNA from 1 species